GAGUUUGAUCUUGGCUCAGGAUGAACGCUGGCGGCGUGCCUAAUACAUGCAAGUCGAGCGAACAGACGAGGAGCUUGCUCCUCUGACGUUAGCGGCGGACGGGUGAGUAACACGUGGAUAACCUACCUAUAAGACUGGGAUAACUUCGGGAAACCGGAGCUAAUACCGAAUAAUAUAUUGAACCGCAUGGUUCAAUAGUGAAAAACGGUUUUGCUGUCACUUAUAGAUGGAUCCGCGCCGCAUUAGCUAGUUGGUAGGGUAACGGCUUACCAAGGCGACGAUGCGUAGCCGACCUGAGAGGGUGAUCGGCCACACUGGAACUGAGACACGGUCCAGACUCCUACGGGAGGCAGCAGUAGGGAAUCUUCCGCAAUGGGGCGAAAGCCUGACGGAGCAACGCCGCGUGAGUGAUGAAGGUCUUCGGAUCGUAAAAACUCUGUUAUUAGGGAAGAACAAAUGUGUAAGUAACUAUAGCACGUCUUGACGGUACCUAAUCAGAAAGCCAACGGCUAACUACAGCCG
rnacentral:rRNA from 1 species